AUGGAAAAAUAAUACAUAAAAGUAUAUUUUUAAUAUAUUAUUAAUACAGUCAUUUUUGUACUUUUUUGAAAUAAUACAAAAAAAAUAUAUUAUUUUUGUAUCACAAAAAAAAUGGGUAACUCAUUUUUAUAUUAAAUUCUGACUUUGAUUUUUUAAAGGGUAUUAUUUUUGUAUCAUUUUGGACUUAGAUUAUUUUCAAUAUAUUAUUUUUGUAUUUAUAGGGACUUAGUUUUUUUUCUAGCAUAUUAUUUUUGUAUCAAAAUUAAACUUAGUCAUUUUCACUGUAUUAAAAUUGUAUUUUUUUAAAAACUUAGUCAUUUUUAAUCCAAAUCUUUGAAUUUAUAUGUAUUAAUUUUGUAUUAUAAUUGGACUUAAAAAAUUUCAGUGAUUUUUCACUGUAUUAUAAUUGUAUUUUUUUUUAACUUAGUCAUUUUUAAUCCAAAUCUUUGAUUUUAUAUGUAUUAAUUUUGUAUUAUAAUUGGACUUAAAAAAAAUUCCCAGUGAUUUUCAUUGUAUAAAAAUUGACUAAUUUUUAAAUUGAAAUAUAAAACUUAUAACUUGUGGAAAACAUGAUGCAAGAUUUAGCUUCUCAACUUCACAGUAAAGAUUUCAAACUUUUAAGUUUAGACAACUUUAUCAGUUGCAUGCAUAAUGAAAUAAUAAGGAAGUAUACUUCUAAAUAACACUGGAGACAUUAUUUAUUGCAUGAUAUUUCCAGGACAGUCUGUAAAAUACAGUAUAGUUUCUUUUGACUUCAUCUAGGUUUCCCAUUCUAAUAAUUGUCAUGCAGUCUAAUUCUACUGAUAACUCUUAAAUAAGCUUUUCAAUAAGAUACAAUGUACCAUUGUACCUUAUUAAUACUAUCUUCUCAUCAAAAUAACACAAUAAAAAUUGUAAUCUCUGAACUCAACAAAUUAUUUCUCCACUUUGUUUGGGUUUACUGCAAGUGGCAGUUGCUAUUGCACACACAGAAAAAUAAAUAAAGUCCUACACAUAAAUGGCUAUCAACUGUCCAGAGCUUGGUCUCAAAGAAAUAAUGUCACUGAAAAAUAUGUUGUGCAGAAUAUGAGCAUUUACACAUGUACUUCACAUUAUCUCCAUUACUUCACUAAAGCAUAGAAUGAUGGACCACAACAGUUCUCAUUACACUAUGAUGAAUGAACAAUGUUUCAAGUUUCACAAAGCACAUCUCGUCUAAAAUCAUGUCCACUAAAAUGAACCACACUACUGUCUCGCCUGAAAGUGGCUCUGCACUCCACAAAUUUUAAGGACAUUUGGUUGAUGAGCAUAGUUCGUUUGAAAAACCAUCACUGAAUCCACAAUAGGCAGAAUAUGGUAAGCACCUAUUACAGAUACUUUAUCAUUUUACACUGUCUUGUUGACUUAUGUUUCUUCUCCAUCUGACAUUCCCUUGAAAAAUUCUUGCUCGCAACUUCCAUAAUUUAAAGUUUGUGUCAUCUUCUGGAGGAAUUGAUUGGCAUAAGACAUGUCAGAUACCUGAAAAUGAAACACAAGAAAUCAACUGAAAUUGAACAUUUUCUCUGCAAUUUUAAUUUUCAAAAAAAAAAUUUCAUUUUCAAAAAUAAAUGAGGGCAUGAACUUUACUUGUUACUGUUUUAUACCAGCAUGCUUUACGAAGCGUGUUAGCACUUCAACAAAAGUAUGCUGAUGUGCAGCAUUGUUGUUCAUACAAUUCAUUCUAAAGAUGUCCGACACUUUGAUCUACAGGUUCACAGAGUUAAUUUUGUUUUUUUAAAUUCAACCGCAGGGGCAUAUAUAUAUAUAUAUCUUCAAUGUCCUCUAAUGAAAGAAUUUUUUUUUAAAACUGUAACACAGGCACCUGAAAUUUUAUCCUUAAGUUACAAAUAAUGCCAUAGAUAGAAAAAACAUAUAUCACACCCCUCCCUAUAAAUGAAUACAUGCAACUUACUGUUAAAAUUUUAGGUGUCUGUGAUUGUAACAUGCUUAUUAUUAUUUUUUGUGGACAUACUCUAUCAACAGUUACUUGGGUUUAUUAAAGGUCAUAAAUUGAAUAUUUCAUGUUAAAGAAUUGAAUUACGUUUACCGUCAUUACUUUCUGCAAUGCUGCAUCCUGGUAUUAUUCAAUCAACAUCAUUGUCGUCUUCAAAGUCAGUCUGCUUCCUCAAACUUCAAAGUUAGAUAGGCUAUGCUAUAUCUCCCGGAUUUUUAGGAUUAUCUGACAAGGAAUAGUCGGCAGUUGGGAAAACCUAUGAUAGAAUUGGUAACAUGAAAACAAACACAACUAAAAUUUAUGAACUUAAACAACGAUAUAUUAUUUCACAUUGAUCAUCAUCGGGCAACUAUCAGGUGCGAUUUUACCACAAGUCACUUUGAAAAAUAAAUAUCUAUUUCUCAAAUACGCAAUUAUAGGAUUUAUCAAAUAAUAAUAUUAAAGAAAACGAAUAAGAAAAAUGCAUACCGAUUGUGAAAACAACGUGCAAGUUCAUCGGCACGGGCGCGCCAUUACCACUCGACCUCGUGGCUUUUCAAGUUUGGUAGGACUGCUUCUUCCAGUGUUAUACACGUCGCAUACCCCAUAAGAAUACUCUAGGAGCCUUUAACAAGUUGUCCACAAAAUAGAUUGUAUACUCUCCACGUGUUUCUCCCAUUGUUUUGCUUUCCUUUCCUCACAAUGUUCACAGAUCGACGAUUUCAAAAUAUGGAAGCGGAAGUGACUGUAGAUAGAGUUCGGGUGACUCCGUAAUCAAUUUUAAAUUAUUACAUUCUUAGUAUUUGUUUUAAAAAAACAGCUAUGAAUUAUGAAUUAGUUUCUAAUAGCAGAAAAUUUAAACAAACGAGAUAAUAACAGCAUAUUUACGAAAGAUAAAUACAAGACUAGAAUUUUCGGCCGUCUUCGUACUUUCACGCGAUUGGUCGAAGUUCCAAAAUCUGUAGCUCUCAAAUUUGAUUGGUUGAAUGUGUGACGCUGCCAUUUUCAAAGUGAUUAGACUGUCGCAAUAUUUCGGAGGUUAUUUUGCAUAAAUUGCUAAAUAUUCCGUGGUUGAGUGGAAUGAGGACCGGAGUCCAGAAUCACGGAAUAUAUAAGGAAGGUGACAUCCUGCAAGAACGGCAUGUCCAGACGUUUUGGGCCGGGUGUACGUAAAGUUCUUGUGAUCAUCACAACAUGAUUAUGCAGUGGUCAAGGCUGACGACAAGUGGUGUGACUUGAAGAUAGCCCUUAGGAACAAAGUUAGUGCACUUUGCAACGCAGAAGAAACGGCAGAAGCAGAGGGAGGAUGAGUCUCAAGACUGAUGUGUUAUGAAGAUCAUGGACAGACUAGAUAUGAAUACCAUAUAAGGUCACAGACAGACUAGAUAUGUAUACCAUAUAAGAUCAUGGGCAGACUAGAUAUGUACAUACCAUAUCAUCAGCUCACUGACAGACUAGAUAUGUAUGUACCAUAUAACAUCAUGGACAGGCUAGAUAUGUAUAAAAUACUGAUUAAACAUCUAGCAAUUUAUUGAAUCUUGUACAAUGAAAAUGACAACAAUUUGUUAUUAUUUAUUAUAUUUAUGAUAAUAUAGCCCAAAGUAUUUAAUAGUCGCUUUUUAAAUCUCUACAAUAGUAGCCAAUGCGACAUGGGAUAUUAUGUUUACUGUAACAAUGGUUUUAACUUUUAAUAGUAGCUGAAUUAGUAGCCAAUGCAUGUCUUUUUAUGCCCCGAGAUCGGGGGGGGGGGGGGGGGGGGGGGGGGGGGGAGCAUAUUGGCAUAUUGUUUUUGUCCUGUCUGUCAUUCUGUCUGAAACUUUAACCUUGCUAAUAACUUUUGAACUGUAAGUGAUAGAGCUUUGAUAUUUCACAUGAGUAUUCCUUGUGACAAGACCUUUCCGUGAGUACCAACAUUUUUGACCCUGUAACCUUGACCUUUGAGUUUGACCUACUUUUUGAAAACUUUAACUUUGCUUAUAACUUUUUAACAGUAAGUGGUAGAGCUUUAAUAUUUCACAUGAACAUUCCUUGUGACAAGACCUUUCCGUGAGUACCAACACUUUUGACCCUUUGACCUUGGAGUUUGACCUACUUUUUGAAAACUUUAACCUUGUUAAUAACUUUUGAACUGUACGUGAUAGAGCUUUGAUAUUUCACAUGAGUAUUCCUUGUGACAAGACCUUUUCGUUGGUACUAAACCUUUUGACCUUGACAUUUGACCUACUUUUAGUUUUAUUUUUACAUUGGUCAUAACUUCUAAAUGGUAAAUAUUAGAGCUUUAAUAUUGUACAUGAGCAUUUCUUGUGACAAGAUCUUUCUACUGGUACCAAGAUAUUUGUCCUUGUGACCUUGGCCAUCUCUGGGAUUGGCCAUUAUCGGGGACAUUUGUGUUUCACAAACACAUCUUGUUUCCCCUUGCUUUUGAUUGAUUUUGCAUAACUAAGUUGAUUUGACUGAAGGUUUUAUUCAUAUAUUUUUAAAGAUGUCAGAUUUCUUUCUUAAAAUGUGAUUGAAAGCUGUUUUCAAAAACUAUUAAAACAUGUUUUUUACAAUUCUUUUUACUUUUCUAGGCACUGCAUUGUAUUAUUUUUGGCACAUUAAUAUACUUUUUGUGUAUCAUUCUUGUACUUUUUUGAAAUACAAAAUGUAUUUUUUUUGUAUUUUUUUAAAUAUGUAUUGUUUUUAUACUUUUUUUUUUGGUAAUGUAUUAUUUCUAUUCCCCAUCUUUGAAUACUUAGAUGUUGAUACAAAUUUAAUACAAUUCAUAUUUUUUUCCUAUUUUAAUUUUUCAAGGUGAACCAAAUAAUACAAAAAUAAUAUGUUGAUACAAAAUUAAUACAAAUCAUAUUUUUUUUCCUAUUUUUUUCAAGGUGAACCAAAUGAUACAAAAUUAAUAUGUUGAUACAAAAUUAAUACACUUUGUAUUUUUUUUGUACUUUUUUAAUCCUACUCCAAAAUGUAUUAUUUUUGUACUUUAAAUUGGGAUUUAAUACAUAAAUAAUACAAGAGUAUAGAAAUAAUACAUCAAAUGUAUCAUUUUUGUAUUUUUACUAAGAAAUAAAGUAUAUUAAAAAUA